rnacentral:tRNA from 1 species
GGCGGCAUAGCUCAGUGGCAGAGCGUCCGGUUCAUGCCCGGAAUGUCAAUGGUUCAAGUCCAUUUGCCGCUACCA